UAGGGAAUCUUCGGCAAUGGGGGGAACCCUGACCGAGCAACGCCGCGUGAGUGAAGAAGGUUUUCGGAUCGUAAAGCUCUGUUGUUAAGGAAGAACGAGUGUGAGAAUGGAAAGUUCAUGCUGUGACGGUACUUAACCAGAAAGGGACGGCUAACUACGUGCCAGCAGCCGCGGUAAUACGUAGGUCCCGAGCGUUGUCCGGAUUUAUUGGGCGUAAAGCGAGCGCAGGCGGUUAGAAAAGUCUGAAGUGAAAGGCAGUGGCUCAACCAUUGUAGGCUUUGGAAACUGUUUAACUUGAGUGCAGAAGGGGAGAGUGGAAUUCCAUGUGUAGCGGUGAAAUGCGUAGGUAUAUGGAGGAACACCGGUGGCGAGAGCGGCUCUCUGGUCUGUAACUGACGCUGAGGCUCGAAAGCGUGGGGAGCGAACAGG
rnacentral:rRNA from 1 species